rnacentral:rRNA from 1 species
GACGAACGCUGGCGGCGUGCUUAACACAUGCAAGUCGAACGGAAAGGCCCUGCUUUUGUGGGGUGCUCGAGUGGCGAACGGGUGAGUAACACGUGAGUAACCUGCCCUUGACUUUGGGAUAACUUCAGGAAACUGGGGCUAAUACCGGAUAGGAGCUCCUGCUGCAUGGUGGGGGUUGGAAAGUUUCGGCGGUUGGGGAUGGACUCGCGGCUUAUCAGCUUGUUGGUGGGGUAGUGGUUUACCAAGGCUUUGGCGGGUCGGCGGGCUGAGAGGGUGACCGGCCACAUUGGGACUGAGAUACGGCACAGACUCCUACGGGAGGCAGCAGUGGGGAAUAGUGCACAAUGGGCGGAAGCCUGAUGCAGCAACGCCGCGUGCGGGAUGACGGCCUUCGGGUUGUAAACCGCUUUCGCCUGUGACGAAGCGUGAGUGACGGUAAGGGGUAAAGAAGCACCGGCUAACUACGUG